ACCGAAUCUCAAUUAAAAACCCACACACAUAUUGAACAAUUUUCCCCGCUGAACAGAUCUAUUACUACUAUCCCAGCCCCAGAUCGCAAUGGAAAGGUUGUAGGAUUUUAUGUGGGAUGUGGAUAAAACCUACAGUUCCAUUCACGUAGAAGUUCUCUAAAGGGGACCGUUUAGCUCUCCUAUUUAGCAAUGAGAGAGACAUUCCAGUUAUACAAUCUCUAGCUAAUAACUCAGGUUUUCGAUAAACUCUUCCAGGAACGAGGGAAGACUUCAAGGAUGCCUUUUGAUUUGACGUCUCUUCUAUGCCAUCUUGGGAGCAGAACUGUGGUCAGCAAAGGUAGUUACCUUUCAUAAUUGGGGAGAAUGACCUUACAACAGGGGGCAAUGUCACUUGAACUGUAAGCAAACGGGAAUAACAAGAACAUAACCACUGGGAGUAAGGCCAAUUAAACUGUAAGCAGACAGAGAUAGCAAAAGAACAUGACCAUAAAAACUUGCUUAGUUCAUGUUUCAUGAAUUUGUAAGGCACAAAUAUAGAUUAUGGGUCAUUAAACCGUACAAUUAGAUUGAGAUGGAUUUGAACAGAGGACUUAGGAAUGUGGGAAUAAAUGAGAAACUUACAUCGUUGGCUAACUAAUUAGAGUUCGUGUAUCUCUUUGCUAGAGCUAUAAUGAAAGCAAGCAUGAGUCUAAAAAGGAAUGCUCUAAUUUGCGAAUUAUCUUAUCAAGGAAUAAUGUACUGUAAUCAAUAGUUUAAUUUUUGGUAUACUUUGUUUCAAAGAAAAAUGAUUUUGUAGCCUAGAAUCUCUUAAUUGUAUGAUGUUUGUAUGAUGAU